rnacentral:rRNA from 1 species
CCGGAAACGGUAGCUAAUACCACAUGACAUCAUUGAUACGCAUGUAUUGGUGAUUAAAGCUUUAUGUGGUCAAGGAUGGGCCUGCGUUGGAUUAGUUUGUUGGUAAGGUAACGGCUUACCAAGGCUACGAUCCAUAGCUGGUCUGAGAGGAUGAUCAGCCACACUGGCACUGAGACACGGGCCAGACUCCUACGGGAGGCAGCAGUGAGGAAUAUUGCGCAAUGGGCGAAAGCCUGACGCAGCCACGCCGCGUGGAGGAUGACACCCCUAUGGGGCGUAAACUCCUUUUAUGUGAGAAGAAGGUCCAAGUCGCUUGGAAUUGACGGUAUCACAUGAAUAAGCACCGGCUAACUCCGUGCCAGCAGCCGCGGUAAUACGGAGGGUGCAAGCGUUGUCCGGAAUCACUGGGUGUAAAGGGUGUGUAGGCGGGACUAUAAGUCAGGGGUGAAAUCCCACAGCUUAACUGUGGAACUGCCCUUGAUACUGUAGUUCUUGAGUCUCGGAGAGGUUGCUGGAAUUCGUGGUGUAGCGGUGAAAUGCGUAGAUAUCACGAGGAACACCAGAGGUGUAGACGGG